rnacentral:rRNA from 1 species
AUGGGUCGUACCAAUGUCAAUCCUAUUUGGGGGGAGAUUUGGAAAUUAUCGUGUCCGGCAAAGGUAAAAAUAUUUAUCUGGCGAACGUUGCAUGGAACUCUACCAUGUCGUGUUACACUUGCCAAUAGACAUAUGAAAGUUUCGCCCCUUUGUCCAUCAUGCUCAAAUGGGCAAGAAGAUACAAAACACAUCUUGUUUUUGUCUGAGAAGGCAAAAGAGGUUUGGGGUAAGCUGGGGAUGUACGAGGUAAUUAAGAAAGCUUGUGUUAUUGAUCAUGCGGGUGAGGCGGUUCUUGAACUCUUACUUCUUAUGCCACACCAAGAACUAUCUAUAUUAGGAUGCCAGAAUGCAAGUGAAUUAAUCGUGAUAACCGCUUGGUAUUUAUGGUGGGAGAGA